AUUGAACGCUGGCGGCAGGCCUAACACAUGCAAGUCGAGCGGAUGACGGGAGCUUGCUCCUUGAUUCAGCGGCGGACGGGUGAGUAAUGCCUAGGAAUCUGCCUGGUAGUGGGGGACAACGUUUCGAAAGGAACGCUAAUACCGCAUACGUCCUACGGGAGAAAGCAGGGGACCUUCGGGCCUUGCGCUAUCAGAUGAGCCUAGGUCGGAUUAGCUAGUUGGUGGGGUAAUGGCUCACCAAGGCGACGAUCCGUAACUGGUCUGAGAGGAUGAUCAGGCACACUGGAACGGAGACACGGUCCAGACUCCUACGGGAGGCAGCAGUGGGGAAUAUUGGACAAUGGGCGAAAGCCUGAUCCAGCCAUGCCGCGUGUGUGAAGAAGGUCUUCGGAUUGUAAAGCACUUUAAGUUGGGAGGAAGGGCAGUAAGUUAAUACCUUGCUGUUUUGACGUUACCGACAGAAUAAGCACCGGCUAACUCUGUGCCAGCCGCCGCCGUAACAC
rnacentral:rRNA from 1 species